rnacentral:rRNA from 1 species
CUACGGGUGGCACCAGUGAGGAAUAUUGCACAAUGGGGGGAACCCUGAUGCAGCAACGCCGCGUGGAGGAUGACGCAUUUCGGUGUGUAAACUCCUUUUAUAUGUCAAGAAAAUGACGGUAGCAUAUGAAUAAGCACCGGCUAACUCCGUGCCAGCAGCCGCGGUAAUACGGAGGGUGCAAGCGUUACUCGGAAUCACUGGGCGUAAAGGACGCGUAGGCGGGUUGGAAAGUCAGGUGUGAAAUCCUACAGCCUAACUGUAGAACUGCACUUGAAACUUCUAAUCUAGAGUAUGGAGGGGGAGAUGGAAUUAGUGGUGUAGGGGUAAAAUCCGUAGAUAUCACUAGGAAUACCUAAAGCGAAGGCGAUCUCCUGGAACAUUACUGACGCUAAGGCGUGAAAGCGUGGGGAGCAAACAGGAUUAGAUACCCCCGUAGUC